rnacentral:rRNA from 1 species
ACAUAGCCUAAUGAAUAAUUUAAUAUUAGGUUCCUCCUGCUCAUGAAUUUUAAUAGUAAUUUUAAUUGCCGCGGUACUCUGACCGUGCUAAGGUAGCAUAAUAAAUUGGCUUUUAAUUGAGGUCGGGAAUAAAUGGAUCAAUGGGGGAAUACUGUCUCAUAUAUAAAUUAAGGCUAAAUUAAAAUUGUUUAAGUAGUGCAAAUACUACUAAUAAAAAUAAUAGACGAGAAGACCCUUAGAGCUUUUAUUAAUAUUUUCUUAUAUAAUUUAUAUUUAUCUAUCAGAGAAUCACAUUUUUGCUGGGGCGGCAAAUUAACACUUAAGAAUCUAGUUUUUGAUUGUAAAAUCUUAAUUAUUAUUAAUUUAAUAUCCUAAGUCUAUACGGCUUUUUUAUUCUUAACUUAAUCUUAUUCAAAAUUAAAUUUUAAACAUUUUUACACACCUAGUUAUGAAUCAUCAAAAAUUCAACACUCUUCAAGAUUAAGCUACCUAAGGGAUAACAGCAUAAUUGAUUAAUUAGAUUAUGACCUCGAUGUUGGACUAGGGGCUUCUUAUACUAGAAGUAUACGAAGAUGGUUCUGUUCGAACUAUAUAUUUUCCCUACGUGAUCUGA